CGCGCAGCUCCUCAACCCGGGGGACCUCACCGCGAAGUCUGGCAACCCGGAGCUCUUUCCCGUCGUCAUGGCGGCGCUCGUCGCGGGCGUCGACUCGUACGGCGACCUCAUGCGUCUGUCGAUCGCGUCCCCCGGUAACGACUUCCGCCUCGGCGCGAUGGAGGCGCCGCCGUCGGUCAUCUCCACGUACCUCGGCACGCAGAUGACGGAGUACCUCACGGAGUUCAUGAACGGCAACGUGUUCGAGUACAAGCCGUCUGUGACCCCCAUUCCGCUCGGCGUGGACUCGCUUCCGGUGUUCAACGCCCCCGCGGAGGACCGCAACCGCACGUCUCCGUUCCCGUACGGCGGGCACAGGUUCGA
rnacentral:lncRNA from 1 species